rnacentral:rRNA from 1 species
AGUGAACGCUGGCGGCAGGCCUAACACAUGCAAGUCGAACGGCAGCACAGCAGUAGCAAUACUGUGGGUGGCGAGUGGCGGACGGGUGAGGAAUACAUCGGAAUCUACCUUGUCGUGGGGGAUAACGUAGGGAAACUUACGCUAAUACCGCAUACGACCUACGGGUGAAAGCGGCGGACCGCAAGGCGUCGCGCGAUUGGAUGAGCCGAUGUCCGAUUAGCUAGUUGGCGGGGUAAAGGCCCACCAAGGCGACGUUCGGUAGCUGGUCUGAGAGGAUGAUCAGCCACACUGGAACUGAGACACGGUCCAGACUCCUACGGGAGGCAGCAGUGGGGAAUAUUGGACAAUGGGCGCAAGCCUGAUCCAGCCAUGCCGCGUGUGUGAAGAAGGCCUUCGGGUUGUAAAGCACUUUUGUCCGGAAAGAAAAGCCUUCGGUUAAUACCCGGGGGUGAUGACGGUACCGGAAGAAUAAGCACCGGCUAACUUCGUGCCAGCAGCCGCGGUAACAC